rnacentral:lncRNA from 1 species
ACUCACUCCGCCGCCGUCCCUGCUUCCACCACAUCCUCCGAUUUAUGAUUGGAUGGGAUCAUCGAGCUGAUUCGAUUGCAAGAAUGCAAGUAAGAACAAGAGACUGAUUGAGAAUUGUAAAAACCGGAAAUUUGGGUGAUGCUUUGAAAGUGUUUGACGAAAUGUCUAAGAGAGAAGAACAACUUGAGGUAUGGAACAACUGAAUUAGUCAAGGCUGGAUAAUGACUAAGGUUCUUUGAAAGCUUGCAUUCGAGUCUCAGAGCGUUUGAUCACGGAUUCAUCACUACUAUUCUAGUUGCAAUCAAAGAAAUGGUUUCACUAGCGGAAUCUCAGCACAACGCUUGUGUUAAAUACAAACCCUUGAACUCUGCAACCACAAAGCAAUAAGGAUAGUCGAAUUCAAAAGUAGUAUCUUGUAACCUAAACUCAAGCAAAGAACUUCAAACUUGCUUGUUUAUGAAAAAUAAAAAUAAUAUCUGUAAAUAUGUUUCAGUAACGAGAUUAUCAAACAUUGCGACUAAUUUCAAA